UCCUCUCGCGGCAUGUUUCUGCGCUUGAUUGCGUGGAGCAAACCUCGGGACUUUUACUUUGAGGAAAUUAGAGUGUUCACGGCAGGCUAUCGCCCGAAUACAUUAGCAUGGAAUAAUACUAUAGGAUUUCGAUUCUAUUUUGUUGGUUUCUAGAAUUGAAAUAAUGAUUAAUAGGGACAAUUGGGGGCAUUCGUAUCAACACGUCAGAGGUGGAAUUCUUGGAUUGUGUUGCGACGAACUACUGCGAAAGCAUUUGCCAAGGAUGUUUUCAUUGAUCAAGAACGAAAGUAAGGGGAUCGAAGACGAUUAGAUACCGUCGUAGUCUUUACCAUAAACUAUGCCAACUAGAGAUGGGGCAUCGUUCACUUACGACUUGCUCCGCACCUUAUGAGAUAUCAAAGUCUUUGGGUUCCGGGGGGAGUAUGGUCGCAAGGCUGAAACUUAAAGGAAUUGACGGAAGGGCACCACCAGGAGUGGAGCCUGCGGCUUAAUUUGACUCAACACGGGGAAACUCACCAGGUCCAGACAUAAUAAGGAUUGACAGAUUGAUAGCUCUUUCUUGAUUUUAUGGGUGGUGGUGCAUGGCCGUUCUUAGUUCGUGGAGUGAUUUGUCUGCUUAAUUGCGUUAACGAACGAGACCUUAACCUGCUAAAUAGGAGCACCUAUCUCCGGAUAAGUGCCUUUCUUCUUAGAGGGACUUUAUGCGUUUCAGCAUGAGGAAGUUUGAGGCUAAAACAGGUCUGUGAUGCCCUUAGAUGUUCUGGGCUGCACGCGCGCUACACUGAUGCGUUCAACGAGUGUACAACCUUGCUAGAUAUAGUUGGGUAACCUUUUGAACACGCAUCGUGAUGGGGAUAGAUUAUUGCAAUUAUUAAUCUUCAACGAGGAAUUCCUAGUAAUGAUGGAUCAUCAGUUCAUCGUGAUUACGUCCC
rnacentral:rRNA from 1 species